AUUGAACGCUGGCGGCAGGCCUAACACAUGCAAGUCGAGCGGAUGAAGGGAGCUUGCUCCUGGAUUCAGCGGCGGACGGGUGAGUAAUGCCUAGGAAUCUGCCUGGUAGUGGGGGAUAACGUCCGGAAACGGGCGCUAAUACCGCAUACGUCCUGAGGGAGAAAGUGGGGGAUCUUCGGACCUCACGCUAUCAGAUGAGCCUAGGUCGGAUUAGCUAGUUGGUGGGGUAAAGGCCUACCAAGGCGACGAUCCGUAACUGGUCUGAAAGGAUGAUCAGUCACACUGGAACUGAGACACGGUCCAGACUCCUACGGGAGGCAGCAGUGGGGAAUAUUGGACAAUGGGCGAAAGCCUGAUCCAGCCAUGCCGCGUGUGUGAAGAAGGUCUUCGGAUUGUAAAGCACUUUAAGUUGGGAGGAAGGGCAGUAAGUUAAUACCUUGCUGUUUUGACGUUACCAACAGAAUAAGCACUGGCUAACUUCGUG
rnacentral:rRNA from 1 species